rnacentral:ncRNA from 1 species
UUUAGGAGUAGAAGCGGUCAGGAUUUUUCCGGGACAUUGCUCAUCAU